AAAGUUAUUAUAGUUAAAAAGCUUAUAGUUAAACUUUAGGCCUAGCUAGCCGGUCUGCCUUAUUAUAUAUACUAGUCUAGCUAGGCCUUUCCUUCUAUAGAACCUUAUACCUUUUAUUAGGUAUAGUAGGGAAAUAAGACUUUUACUUUAAAAAAAUUAGAGUGCUCUAGGUAGGCCUAUACUUAAAUAUAUUAGUAUAGAAUAAUAAAAUAAGAUAUAUAGUUCUAUUUUAUUAGUUUUUAAGACCGCCGUAAUAAUUAAUAGGGAUAAUCGGGGGCAUUAGUAUUUAAUUAUUAAAGGUGAAAUUCUUAGAUUUAUUAAAGACUAAUUACUGUAAAAGCAUUUACUAAGGAUAUUUUUAUUAAUUAGGAAUAAAAGUUAGGGGAUCGAAGACGAUUAAAUACCGUUAUAAUCUUAACUAUAAAUUAUACCGAUUAGGGAUUAAAUAAUAUUAUUUUUUAACUUAUUUAGUACCUUAUGAGAAAUUAAAGUAUUUAGGCUUUA
rnacentral:ncRNA from 1 species